CAUCUCGGAGCUGAAUACACUCCUCCGUGUCGUGACCGUGGUCACAAUGAUAGAGGCAAAACUUGUUAGGGUUGCACUUUCCAGGGUGUGUGCGCAUCCUUUCCGGCCUUGGCAGCUGCUCCCUGACCUCCAUCAGCACUUGGACUUUUGGAGCAUUGAGAGGGGUGUAGCUGUGGAAUCUUCCUGUGGGAGAGCUCCGUCGAACUCUGCGGUCCGAGCUCCUCUACCUACGAGCUCGGGGAGGAGUUCAGACACGCUUGUGUCUGGGGGGAGUUUGAGAAUGUGGUCAAGCUUCACUCGACCCUUUUUCAGUUGCAGGC
rnacentral:lncRNA from 1 species